UUACGGCCAUAUUAUGUUGAAACACCGGUUCCAGUACGACCACCGACGUUAAGAAACGUCGAGCCUCGUCAGUAACUGAAUGGGUGAUCGUUUGGGAAUAACAGGUGUUGUAAG